rnacentral:rRNA from 1 species
GAACGCUGGCGGCAUGCCUUACACAUGCAAGUCGAACGGCCGCACGGGUGCUUGCACCUGGUGGCGAGUGGCGAACGGGUGAGUAAUACAUCGGAACAUGUCCUGUAGUGGGGGAUAGCCCGGCGAAAGCCGGAUUAAUACCGCAUACGAUCUACGGAUGAAAGCGGGGGACCUUCGGGCCUCGCGCUAUAGGGUUGGCCGAUGGCUGAUUAGCUAGUUGGUGGGGUAAAGGCCUACCAAGGCGACGAUCAGUAGCUGGUCUGAGAGGACGACCAGCCACACUGGGACUGAGACACGGCCCAGACUCCUACGGGAGGCAGCAGUGGGGAAUUUUGGACAAUGGGCGAAAGCCUGAUCCAGCAAUGCCGCGUGUGUGAAGAAGGCCUUCGGGUUGUAAAGCACUUUUGUCCGGAAAGAAAUCCUUGGCCCUAAUACGGUCGGGGGAUGACGGUACCGGAAGAAUAAGCACCGGCUAACUACGUG